rnacentral:rRNA from 1 species
UACGUAGGGACCAAGCGUUGUUCGGAUUUACUGGGCGUAAAGCGUGCGCAGGCGGUUCCGCAAGUCAGAUGUGAAAUCCCCGGGCUUAACCUGGGAACUGCAUUUGAAACUAUGGAGCUAGAGUGUGUCAGAGGGGGGUAGAAUUCCACGUGUAGCAGUGAAAUGCGUAGAGAUGUGGAGGAAUACCGAUGGCGAAGGCAGCCCCCUGGGAUAACACUGACGCUCAUGCACGAAAGCGUGGGGAGCAAACAGG